rnacentral:rRNA from 1 species
GUGUCAGCCGCCGUGGUAAUACGGAGGAUCCAAGCGUUAUCCGGAAUCAUUGGGUUUAAAGGGUCCGUAGGCGGUUUAAUAAGUCAGUGGUGAAAUCCCAUCGCUCAACGGUGGAACGGCCAUUGAUACUGUUAAACUUGAAUUAUUAAGAGGUUACUAGAAUAUGUAGUGUAGCGGUGAAAUGCUUAGAGAUUACAUGGAAUACCAAUUGCGAAGGCAGGUUACUACUAAUGGAUUGACGCUGAUGGACGAAAGCGUGGGUAGCGAACAGGAUUAGAUACCCUCGUAGUCC